GCGCGGGUGGCGGAACUGGUAGACGCGUCAGCUUGAGGGGCUGAUGGGAGCAAUCCCUUGGAGGUUCGAGUCCUCUCCCGCGCACAA
rnacentral:tRNA from 1 species